rnacentral:rRNA from 1 species
AGGGUUUGAUUCUGGCUCAGGAUGAACGCUGGCGGCGUGCCUAACACAUGCAAGUCGAGCGAGAAGCCAUUGACUGAAACUUCGGUAGAAGGAUAUGGUGGAAAGCGGCGGACGGGUGAGUAACGCGUAGGCAACCUGCCCCUUACAGAGGGAUAGCCAUUGGAAACGAUGAUUAAAACCUCAUAACGCAUCCCCCUCACAUGGAGGGGAUGCCAAAGAUUCAUCGGUAAGGGAUGGGCCUGCGUCUGAUUAGCUAGUUGGCGGGGUAACGGCCCACCAAGGCGACGAUCAGUAGCCGACCUGAGAGGGUGAUCGGCCACAUUGGAACUGAGACACGGUCCAA